AUUGAACGCUGGCGGCAGGCUUAACACAUGCAAGUCGAGCGGAGAUGAGGUGCUUGCACCUUAUCUUAGCGGCGGACGGGUGAGUAAUGCUUAGGAAUCUGCCUAUUAGUGGGGGACAACAUUCCGAAAGGAAUGCUAAUACCGCCUACGUCCUACGGGAGAAAGCAGGGGAUCUUCGGACCUUGCGCUAAUAGAUGAGCUUAAGUCGGAUUAGCUAGUUGGUGGGGUAAAGGCCUACCAAGGCGUCGAUCUGUAGCGGGUCUGAGAGGAUGAGCCGCCACACUGGGACUGAGACACGGCCCAGACUCCUACGGGUGGCAGCAGUUGGGAAUAUUGGACAAUGGGCGGAAGCUUGAUCCAGCCAUGCCGCGUGUGUGAAGAAGGCCUGUUGGUUGUAAAGCACUGUAAGCGAGGGUGAGGCUACCUAGAUUAAUAAUCUGGGAUAUUGGACGUUACUCGCAGAAUAAUCACCGGGUAACUCUGUGCCAGCAGCCGCCGUAAAAC
rnacentral:rRNA from 1 species